rnacentral:rRNA from 1 species
AGCUCCAAUAGUGUAUCUUAACGUUGUUGCAGUUAAAAAGCUCGUAGUUGAAUUUCUGGGGGGGCUGCUUUGGCUAACGCCGGGCGGCCCUUUCAUCCGCCUUGGAACUAGGAUGGGUAUUUAGUUACUGGCCUAGGGAAGUGGCAUUUUACUUUGAAGAAAUUAGAGUGUUCAUAGCAGGCUCUUGCUUGAAUAUAUCAGCAUGGAAUAAUGGAAUAGGACAUCGUCCGUCUCUUGGUGACUGGACAUGUAAUGAUUAACAGGGACAGUUGGGGGCAUUCGUAUUCGUUAGUCAGAGGUGAUAUUCUUGGAUUUGACGAAGACGAACUAAUGCGAAAGCAUUUGCCAAGGAUGUUUUCA